AAUUAUGGACACCAAGACUUUACAUGAGGCCAUUAGUGGUAAAGAGUAUGAGCCUGCUUACAAAACAAAUAGUUCAUCUACAAACCAUAUAGCAAACACUUGGUAAUGUUGUAGGCCAUCUUUUAUUUAUAGUUGCUACUCAUGUUGCAUGUAGUCAAGAGAUGACUUCAAAUGGUCUCAAUUAACACAAGGAGAGCCUAGCCAAUUUGCAUUACAUGAUUGAAUAAAAACUAAUUCAGGUUUUGG
rnacentral:lncRNA from 1 species